rnacentral:rRNA from 1 species
AUUGAACGCUGGCGGCAGGCUUAACACAUGCAAGUCGAGCGAGCGGCGGACGGGUGAGUAAUGUCUGGGAAACUGCCUGAUGGAGGGGGAUAACUACUGGAAACGGUAGCUAAUACCGCAUACCAUCAGAUGUGCCCAGAUGGGAUUAGCUAGUGGGUGGGGUAAUGGCUCACCUAGGCGACGAUCCCUAGCUGGUCUGAGAGGAUGACCAGCCACACUGGAACUGAGACACGGUCCAGACUCCUACGGGAGGCAGCAGUGGGGAAUAUUGGACAAUGGGCGCAAGCCUGAUGCAGCCAUGCCGCGUGUGUGAAGAAGGCCUUCGGGUUGUAAAGCACUUUCAGCGGGGAGGCGGUACUCGCAGAAUAAGCACCGGCUAACGACGUGCCAGCAGCCGCGGUAAUAC